rnacentral:rRNA from 1 species
AGCAGCCGCGGUAAUUCCAGCUCCAAUAGCGUAUAUUAAAGUUGUUGCAGUUAAAAAGCUCGUAGUUGAAUUUCGGGGUUAGUAGGUCGGUCAUGCCUCUGGUAUGCACUGGUCUCACUGAUUCCUCCUUCCCGAUGAGCCGUAAUGCCAUUAAUUUGGUGUUGCGGGGAAUCUGGACUGUUACUUUGAAAAAUUAGAGUGUUUAAAGCAGGCUAACGCUUGAAUACAUUAGCAUGGAAUAAUGGAAUAGGACGUUCGAUCCUAUUUUGUUGGUUUCUAGGAUUGACGUAAUGAUUAAUAGGGAUAGUUGGGGGCAUUAGUAUUCAAUUGUCAGAGGUGAAAUUCUUGGAUUUAUUGAAGACUAACUACUGCGAAAGCAUUUGCCAAGGAUGUUUUCAUUAAUCAAGAACGAAAGUUAGGGGAUCGAAGACGAUCAGAUACCGUCGUAGU